GAUUAACGCUGGCGGCGUGCAUAACACAUGCAAGUCGAACGAGUGGCGGACGGGUGAGUAACGCGUAGUAACCUGCCUUAGAGAAGGGGAUAGCCUUUGGAAACGAAGAAUAAUACCCUAUGCUCUAAGAUGGACCUGCGUUGUAUUAGCUAGUAGGUAGGGUAAUGGCCUACCUAGGCAACGAUACAUAGCCGACCGGAGAGGGUGAUCGGCCACACUGGGACUGAGACACGGCCCAGACUCCUACGGGAGGCAGCAGUAGGGAAUCUUCGGCAAUGGGCGAAAGCCUGAUCCAGCCAUGCCGCGUGUGUGAAGAAGGUCUUCGGAUUGUAAAGCACUUUAAGUUGGGAGGCGUUACCAACAGAAUAAGCACCGGCUAACUUCGUGCCAGCAGCCGCGGUAAUUC
rnacentral:rRNA from 1 species